GAUGAACGCUGGCGGCGUGCCUAACACAUGCAAGUCGAGCGAAAAGACGAGGAGCUUGCUCCUCUGACGUUAGCGGCGGACGGGUGAGUAACGCGUGGAUCACCUACCUCUCUGUCUGGGAUCAUUUCGGGAAACCGGAGCUAAUACCGGAUCAUAUAUUGAACCGCAUGGUUCAAUAGUGAAAGACGGCUUUGGUGUCUGUUAUAGAUGGAUCCGCGCCGCAUUAGCUAGUUGGUAAGGUAACGGCUUACCAAGGCGACGAUGCGUAGCCGACCUGAGAGGGUGAUCGGCCACACUGGAACUGAGACACGGUCCAGACUCCUACGGGAGGCAGCAGUAGGGAAUCUUCGGCAAUGGGCGAAAGCCUGACGGAGCAACGCCGCGUGAGUGAUGAAGGUCUUCGGAUCGUAAAACUCUGUUAUUGGGGAAGAACAAAUGUGGAAUGAAACAUGCACGUCUUGACGGUACCUAAUCAGUAAGCCACGGCUAACUACGUG
rnacentral:rRNA from 1 species